GGGGACCACAGCAUGGAGGCAGCAGAGAGAGCCCAAGUGGUGCAGCACUGGAUAGAGGUGGCUCUGGAGUGCCACCUACGAAAAAAUAUCUCCACCUUCUUUGGAAUUGUGUGUGCUCUGCAGAGCAGCCAGCUCCAAGGCCUGAAGAAGACGUGGAGAUUGGUUGGCAGGACUAUCCCGAGGGCACAGUCCCUUACCUGGGCACCAUCCUCACACACCUGGC